rnacentral:lncRNA from 1 species
UUCAUUUCCUUGGUUGUUCAGUUUAUGGCAAAAGACCCUCAGCUGUGUUUUGUUUACUAAUUCCCCUAAGCCUGCCUUAAAUCCAGACUGCCAGGGCCACAGGAAAUCUUUCAGACCCCUGACAGGGUGCUGAAAUAAUGAAUUUAUUAACCUUAGAUCAGUGAAAUGAAUGAAAACUAAACCUGCUUAAAGGAAAGCAUUAAGAUAGGAUCUCACAUUGUCACUCAGGUUGGAGGGCAGUGGUGGGAUCACAGGUCACUGCAUCCUUGACCUCCUGGGCUGAAGUAGUCCUCCCGCCUCAGCCUCCGUGGUAGCUGGGACUACAGGCACAUGCCACUGCACGCAGUGUCUUCCUUUGGCUUUGGUAUCAAGGUAAUGCUGGCCUCAUAAGAUAUGGGGUCUCACUAUGUUGUCCAUGCUGAUCUCAAACUCCUGGGCUCAAGCAAUCUUCCCACCUCAGCCUCCCAAAGUGCUGGGAUUACAGGAGCACAAAGGAAAGGCCAUGCGAGGACACAGGGAGAAGACAGGCCCCUACCAGUCAGGAAGGGAGCCCUCACCAGAAACUGAGCUGGCCAGCACAAUGGUCUUGGACUUGUAGCUCCAGAACUGUGAGGAAAUAAAUUUCUGUUGUUGAAGCC